AUUGAACGCUGGCGGCAGGCCUAACACAUGCAAGUCGAGCGAGCGGCGGACGGGUGAGUAAUGUCUGGGGAACUGCCUGAUGGAGGGGGAUAACUACUGGAAACGGUAGCUAAUACCGCAUACCAUCAGAUGUGCCCAGAUUGGAUUAGCUAGUAGGUGGGGUAACGGCUCACCUAGGAGACGAUCCCUAGCUGGUCUGAGAGGAUGACCAGCCACACUGGAACUGGAACACGGUCCAGACUCCUACGUGAGGCAGCAGUGGGUAAGAUUGCACAAUGGGCGCAAGCCUGAUGCAGCCAUGCCGCGUGUGUGAAGAAGGCCUUCGGGUUGUAAAGCACUUUCAGCGGUGAGGCGUUACCCGCAGAAGAAGCACCGGCUAACUCCGUGCCAGCAGCCGCGGUAAUUC
rnacentral:rRNA from 1 species